AACCUCCGCAAUGUGAGAAAUCGCGACGGGGGGAUCCCAAGUGCCAUUCUUAACGGGAUGGCUUUUCAUUAGUGUAAAGAGCUUUUGGAAUAAGAGCUGGGCAAGACCGGUGCCAGCCGCCGCGGUAACACCGGCAGCUCUAGUGGUAGCAAUUUUUAUUGGGCCUAAAGCGUCCGUAGCCGGUUUAAUAAGUCUCUGGUGAAAUCCUGUAGCUUAACUGUGGGAAUUGCUGGAGAUACUAUUAGACUUGAGACCGGGAGAGGUUAGAGGUACUCCCAGGGUAGAGGUGAAAUUCUGUAAUCCUGGGAGGACCGCCUGUUGCGAAGGCGUCUAACUGGAACGGUUCUGACGGUGAGGGACGAAAGUUAGGGGCGCGAACCGGAUUAGAUACCCGGGUAGUCCUAACUGUAAACGAUGCGGACUUGGUGUUGGGGUGGCUUUGAGCUGUCUCAGUGCCGAAGGGAAGCUGUUAAGUCCGCCGCCUGGGAGGUACGGUCGCAAGACUGAAACUUAAAGGAAUU
rnacentral:rRNA from 1 species